UAGUGGCGGACGGGUGAGUAACGCGUAAGAACCUACCUUUAGGCGGGGGACAACAAUUGGAAACGAUUGCUAAUACCCCAUAAGCUGAGGAGUAAAAGGAAUACUAUUCUGUCUAAAGAUGGGCUUGCGUCUGAUUAGCUUGUUGGUGAGGUAAUUGCUUACCAAGGCAACGAUCAGUAGCUGGUCUGAGAGGAUGAUCAGCCACACUGGGACUGAGACACGGCCCAGACUUCUACGGAAGGCAGCAGUGAGGAAUUUUCCGCAAUGGGCGAAAGCCUGACGGAGCAAUGCCGCGUGGAGGAUGACAGCCUGUGGGUCGUAAACUCCUUUUCUCAGAGAAGAAGUUCUGACGGUA
rnacentral:rRNA from 1 species